UACGAAGGGGGCUAGCGUUGCUCGGAAUCACUGGGCGUAAAGGGUGCGUAGGCGGGUCUUUAAGUCAGGGGUGAAAUCCUGGAGCUCAACUCCAGAACUGCCUCCGAUACUGGGAGCCUUCGAGUCCGGGAGAGGUGAGUGGAACUGCGAGUGUAGAGGUGAAAUUCGUAGAUAUUCGCAAGAACACCAGUGGCGAAGGCGGCUCACUGGCCCGGUACUGACGCUGAGGUGCGAAAGCGUGGGGAGCAAACAGG
rnacentral:rRNA from 1 species